rnacentral:lncRNA from 1 species
UUUCUUUAUUCUUUUAACAAAAAAUGUAUAAGGAACACUACAAAAAAGGGGGCUCUAACAACCAAUCAAAUGUGGUUGCUAUAGGACACUAUCACCGUGGAGUGUCCAAAAUUUGUUGUAUCAAUAUUUUUUUUUUAAACCCAACUGCACGUAUUCAAAUCAACUUCAUCUUCAUCUUCAUCAUAUACAUUCUCCUCCACGGCUGCAGACUCCCUCGGCUGGUGGCUCUACAAUCUCAACUUUUCCAAAACUCAACCGUCGACGACAGAUUCCACAGUCACGCAUCCUCUAGUCGAUUUUCGUAAUCAUUGGUAAGUAAUUUAUUUUACCCAAAUACGCCAGCAACGAGAUGGCAUGCAGCUUCUGUUCAGUUAUUAAUUCGAGUUUUUGUUUUGUGAGAUUCAAAAAGGUAUUAAUUCGUUUUAUUAAUUUCAUUUUCUACGAGCUAUCAGUCAUAUUCUAUCAUGGCAUGCUGCUUCUGUUCUGUUAUGAAUUCGAUUUCUUGUUUUGGGUGAGAUUCAAAAAUCAAAAUGGGUACUAAUUCGUUAUUAAUUCCGUUUUCUACGAGUAUCAGACUAUCAGUCAUAUUCUAUGUCACCAAACUUGGAAGAUAUCUGAUUUAUUUGUGUAAAAUCAUGCUUUAAUCUAUUGGGUUUUUAUGUUAAUCUUUCUACGAAUACCAGACUAUCAGUCAUAUUCUAUGUGAAAUCAUGCCUCGAAACCGCUAGACGAGUUAUAUUUAAGUGAUCUUCUAGAACAUUUUUCACAUUGUUAUUUGAUUUCAUUUUCUUUGUUUUAUUUUUGAUUUUAAGUUAAUAAAUUUAGUUCCUUAAAUCUCUUAUAAAUGGAAAAAAAAAAUUAAUUCCUUGCAAUAAUUUAUGAGCCCAAAAUCUGAAGUUCGUCUCGGGCCCCGCAAAACACAGGUCUGGCCCUGGUAUCAGGGACCAUACUUUCAGUUGGUUCGUUAAAGAUUAGGAAAUGAAAAAAAUUCAGAUUUUUCCCGUGUAAGGGGCUGCUUCGGCGACCAUAGUUGUUGCUGAUCAGUAUAAUUCAGCAACCAGCUCAAAGAGGUUGUUGAAUGAAUUGGCGCAAUAAAUCCAGCCUACUAUUUCGUGUGGUUUUGAGUUUCUUUAGCCACUAACAAAUGUUGUCCUUGUAAAAAGAGAGCGUUAGCGACCACCUUAUGGUCAUUGUUUAGUAUGAUGCAGCAACCAGCUUCAGUUGAUAGCUGAAUGAAUUGGUGUAGAAAAUCCAACCUAAUUUUUUGUAUGGUUUUGAGUUUUUCGACAACCAUCACAUGUGAUCGCUAUAAGGUCCCUCUAUAUUCUAGCUUGAUUACCUAUGAUGUUUGUUGUCGAUUUUAUCUUGCAAUUGUACAGAUCGUAACAAGUAGUAAAGUGGACAUAAGAGUCCGAGUUAUCGAUCCCAUGAGAACUAUACUUUAGCACUUAAUUCAAUUUUCUUUAACCAUUAUUUGAUGAAAAUAAACAAAAAUGAUGAUCGAUCGUGAUUUUUGAUCUAACUACUUAAAAUGAGAACGGAUGCAACAAAAAAGUGAUUUGAAACUCAAACAAUAAAUGGAUGUUAGGGUGGAACAACUUCACCUAUUGGUCACCUUUACUUCUAAUAUCGAGAUUCAUAAAAUAUAAAGUAGUGUUCUGUCGAAUUCUUUUAUUGUAUUCAAUUUACCCCUCUUGAAUUCUCAUUGAGCAUAUUUAACUACUUCAAUUUCAUAUCUCUAUGUGAAUCAAACUUAGUUAAACGCACUAAUAGUUCGAAGAAUUCAUUUAUGAUUGUAGUAAUUAAUAUAGGUAUCUCUACAUGUUAUAUUAAUUUACCGGAUUUUCAUAUGUGGUCUAAACAAGAAUUCGGAUCUCUACGCAAUUAUUAUUCACGAAAUCAUUGAGUAAUUGGCCAGAAAAUUCAAAGUAUUGAAAACAUGAUUAAAAUUCACACAUAUAAUCAUAACGAACAAGAAUAUCAAAUAAAAAAAAAUUAAGGGCCCAAAUAGGUUACAUUGUUUGCCCAAGAAUUAAAUUUAGCUACUCAUAGUAAUGAAAGAAAAACAAGAAGUUAUUAUGGAAGACAUCACCAGAUUUUGAAUAAGCAUAUAGAAUAAGACCGAAAUCUUGCACCAAGAUAUUCUUCCUCUUCCAAUUUAUGCUUCAAAUCUUGGAUUGCUUGAUAUUUUUCUCCCUUGAAUAACUCAUUUGAAUCUCCAAUUGCAUGUGUUUUCCUCCUAAUGAUUAGAUUCAAUCCCUUGAUCUUUUCCCUCUUUGAAUUCUCUCCCUUUUCUUUAAUGUUCUUGAGGUGUUUUUAUGAAUAAUAGAGGCUCCCAAUGUGUGAAUCCCCCAAAAAGUGUGAGAAAUUUCGUAUUUAUAUGUGCCUUGCCAUGUGUAGAAUGUACUAUUUUCGUUUGGACUCAAAAAGGGGCCGAUAUUUCGCUUAGAUUACGGCUUGGGCGGCAACUAGAAUGCAGCGCCGUGUCAAAAAUAGGUGGUGGCGCCUCUCUGAAUCUCCUCGACCCCGCAGCGUCACCUUUCGGACAGACAACAUGUUGUUUAGUAUUUUUAUCAUAACUUUCUCUCCCGAUGUUCAAUUGGGGUGAUUCAAGUUGCAUUGGAAAACUAACUCAAAGGGCUACAAUUUUGCUUCAGAUAUCAUUUCAAAAUUAGAUGAAUGAAAGUGAUUUCAAAAAUAGCAAUCAAGAGUUUUUCAAAUAUAAUUGAGUUGAUAACAAUAAAUAAAAAGUGAAGAUCAAAUAUUUUAGCUAAAAGGAACCUCACUUAAUUGCUCUAGGGAGUAUAUAAAUGAAUGCAAAGUGAGGUGGUAUUUAUAGUUAAAAAAUCGUCAAAAGUCUGUCGAACCAGACAUCUACUAGAGUGUCGGACAGUUCAUUCGCUGUUGUAAUUCAAAACGGUUGAAAAAUCGAUCGUUGGACCUAUGGACGUCCGUUAAAUGUACCUGACAUCAGCUAUAGCAGAAAUCCACAAUUUUUCUUCUUUUAUGGUUUUGACAAAUGUAAUCUUUUUUGAAGGACAUUUUUACUUGAUUUUUCAAGGUAAGUGACAUUUUUUAAAAUAUAAGAUUGAAGUCAUUACCUUAAUAAAAUUUUUAUGUAAACAUUUUUGCAAAGUGAUUUUUCUCGUGCAUGAAAAUAAAUUUUGAGCAUUUCAUGAUUCAUUGUCAAAUAUUGAAGCAUAUUACCUUUACAUAUGAAAUUAAAUUGUCUUAGUAGAAUAUCUUCAAUGAAGCUCUUAGUCUUGACGUGCAUGCUUGAUAAUACUUUGACUUUUUUCUUGAUAGUAAUCUUCACAUCCUCAAUUUUGCUUCCGUGUUGUCAUCACUUGCAAAUCACUUGGUUUCAGACAUUGUGUCUUUAAUUAUAUUGCUUUGCAAUCUUCUCUAUCAACACUUGAAUUCAAUUUGUUAGAAACAAAUGCAAUUCGUUUGUGAUAAGUUAAACGAGAAGUCAACCAUAGGUCAAUAAUUUCACCAUUUUUGAUUAUGACAAACAAGAUGGUUUGCAAUAUAAAAGUUAAACAAAUCGAAAAGGAACACAUUGCAUAUAUUUUCCCUAUCGUUUUACUUAGAUUUCCCCUAUAAGUAUGCAUGUAGAAAUUAUAUGUCGCCCCUUUCAAUGUUCUCCCUAUCAGGCAUAAUCUAACUAUCUUUCCCCUUUGUUAUAAGCAAAAAGCAAGUGCAAAAACAAGUCAACCAUAGUAAUUAUAACGAGUUUGCAUUGAAGAUAAUAUCCAAAAUAUGGAGCAAUAUCAUAAAAUUAAACGUGUACAAUAGUCAUAAAAUUAGAAGAUAUGAAACAUAAGAACAAGAUAAUGCUAAGGCUUCGAAGAUGGUGGCAAAGGAAAGUGAGCAUAAAAAUGAGCAUAGAAGUCAUUCUGUCGAGCUUGCAUCACCACUUAUUGUGCAAGUAUUGCAUCUUGUUGUGCUUGGAUUUGGGCUUGUUGAACUUGAAUUUGAUGAAGUAACUGGCCAAGCCCAUCAACGGUAGAUGUAAGAGAGUCAAUCUGACCGUUUAGAAGAUUAUAGUUAUCCUCGAUAAAUGUGAAAUGACCACCCGAUGAGCGAGGAGCACUUGAGUUGGGUAUGUCUUGAGUAGGAUCCGGAACUUGUAGAACAUCUUCGUUCUCUUCUUCUAUAAAAGGUAGAGUCGAGGGUCCCAAGAUUGGGUCAAACACUUUUGUUUGAGCCACCCAUUGACCAUGUGAUUUAAUGAUUUUCAUGCAUUUUAGUGCUUGUGUAUUAAUAGUGUCAGUGGAACGGAGUUUAAAAAAAGCUUCAUCAUAUAGGGGAAAAUUAAAAUGUUUGAAAUUUUUGGUAAGAAGCAUGCCGCAAGAUAAGGCCUUGGCAUAAUGAGAAGAAUGUACAAGCUUCAUAGGACCUAAUGAAAUAGUCGGGAAAUCUAACUUUCGACCGUCAAGGAAUGUAUCGAGAAUAAAAAGAUAAAAAUAGUUUACCUCAUCUUGAUGUCCCUUCCUAGUGAGAAUAAUAUGUGCAAUGUUAUUUUGCAAGAGUCUACACAGUAAGGUUAAUUAAUUUGCACUAAUUUUGGUAACAUUUUCAAAAUCCUCUUUUGUCAAGUGAUGACAAGCAUCACUUGUGGAAUAUCCUUCCAACAAUGGAUGAGCUUUGUGAAGGAAAAUUUGGGUAUCACACACUUCAAGCUCGAGAAUGUGAUGAAUUAGAGCUUUGUUAACGGUGAUGCGCACAUGUUUGUUAAACAAGAAAUUUCAUCCGAUCAUGAAGUGAUAACCAUCUUUUUAUAAAAACCUUUCAUAAGCCGUGGGUAAGCAUGUUCUUCUAAUGUGCGAACUGAAACCCAACCCAUAUUUUUGAAAAAUUCUUCAAUAUGAAAUACUGGUGUUUCGAUAGCAAAAUCAGCAAAGUCGACAUUUUUACCUAUUAGAACGGAUGAUUUCUCAUAUGGGUUUACCGGCAUCUCGGGCUCCAAAUCCAUUUCUUCGUUGGAGGAUGGUAGAGGAGAGCGUUGUACAGUUUGUUUAAUUAGUUUUCCUACCCUUUUAGACCCCGUCAUGGUGAUAAUUUGAAGAAAUAUGGGUAGAUACAAUUUAGGGUUCAAAUUGGGAAAAUAGUGAAAUUUUGAGAGAAAAUUGAAUUUCUUGAAGAAUUGGAGAAAUAGAACUCAUGGAUGUGUGAGUUUUUUAGGGAAUUGAAAAUUUGUAAUGAAGAAAUGAUCAUAGAUGAAGUGUUUCAAAGAGAGGAAUUCAAGGGAAAGGAAGAAAAUGAGGAAAAAAGAGCGUUCUGUUCAUUUUAAAAUUAAGAACUUACGCUAUACUGGACGUUCGGCACAUUUUACAGGACGUCCAGAAGACACUACCCCAACUCACUUCCAAACCAAAAGUGGGGUCUGGACCAUCCGCUUUGGAGCGUUCAAUUUCCUUUAGUUCCACCGGACGGUCCAUUUGACUUGUUCAGUACGCUUUUUUUAUUUUUAAAUAAGAUUAAUAAUAAUUUAGGUAUGCACAUCAUUUUCAUCAAUAAUUCAUAGGCCUCUUCAAAUAUGUGAGAAUCGAUCAUGAGCAAGAGUUUUGGUGAAGAUAUCGGCCAAUUGAAUUUCCGUAUUAACAAAUUUUGGCGUGAUAUCCCCAUUUUUAGCAUAUCUUUAAGAAAAUGAUGUCUAAUUUUAAUGUGCUUAGUUCGAGAGUUCAACACGGGAUUCUUGGACUAGUCGAGCACUAGUGUUAUCACACAUAAUAGGAAUGUGAUCGUAAGCUAAAUGAUAAUCACAAAGAGUUUGUUUCAUCCAUAGCACAUGUGUACAACAACUUGUGGCCAAGAUAUAUUUGGCCUCGGCUGUAGAUAAUGCCACGAAAUUUUGUUUCUUGCUAAAUCAUGGUACUAAUGCAAAACCUAGAAAGUGACAUGCACCGCUAGUACUUUAUGAGGCUUUGACAAAUAUGUUUUUGAGAUAUUUUUGUUUAAAAAAUGGUUUAUACCAAAGUCCUCCCUUAUCAAAAACAUGUUUUUUAUUCCCAAGUAUUAAAUCGAAAUUUUUCUUACCUUGAGUAAAUUUGUGAAUGAUUUGAGUUAAGUAUUCAACAUUUUCUUUGAGUUUUCAUUAAUUAAGGAAUCAUAGUCAAUAUUUAUUUUUUUUUUAUUUUUUUGUUUUGUUUUCCAAAAUUUUAUUCUUUUCAUUUCAUCAUAAGAGGAAGAUAGAUCAUCAUAUGAGCAUUUUUCAAUAAGUUUGACCUCAUCGCCAGUUGUAAUGAAGCACAUGUUUGCAAUUUCUUCUUGAGUAUUAUAGUAUUAUUUGCCUCUUCAUCCUCAUCUCCGCUAUCAUUCCAAGUGGAUUGAAGUGUCUUUUUAUGGAAAUUCUUUUUCUUAUUUGGACACUCGGCUCUUUUAUGAUCGGGCUUGUCACAAUUAUAACAAAUGACUUUCUUACUCCUCUCUUCCGCAUUUUCCUCAUUCUUUUGAGAUUUUCGAUUAUUUUGAAGACCUCUCCAUUUUUUGACAAGGACUAAAUCGUCGAGCUCUUCAUCACUCAUAUUUCCACUUGCAGCUCCUUCUUUUAUUGUCGUUUCUAGAGCAAUUUGUCCUUUAGAAGGUUCCUUUGAUUCUUCUUUGCUUUUUCUUAUCUUCUCAUUGACCUCGACAUUGUUGAGUUUAUAGUCAUCAAGGUUCCGUAAAGUUCUUCUAAAUGAUAUGUAUUAAUAUUAUUAGUAUUCUCGAUCAACAUCCUUAAAGGACUCCAUUCCUCCGAUAGUGACCUAAGCAUUUUGCUCAUAAGUUAACUAUUAAGAAAUUUACGAUCAAAACCGUUAAGGCCAUUUACAAUGGUGAAACGAGUAAUUAUAUUAACAAUGAGUUCAUCUUGUUUCAUUAAGAAAUCUUCAAAUUCUUUAACUAACAAGUUGAUUUUUGUUUCUUUAACUUUGAUAGUACCAACAUGAGUGAUUCUAGUGUAUGCCAAAUAUCAUAUGCGGAUUCACAUAUGCUAAUCCGAUUGAAUUCAUUUCUAUCUAAUUCACAAUAAAGUAAAUUCUUAGCUUUAGCAUUCAAAGAUAACUUUCUCUUAUCUUCUUCAUCAUAUUCUUCCCUAGGUUUAAGGAUAAUUUGGUUGGGUUUCCUAUCAAUUUUAAUAGUUUUCAUAGGCACAUAAGGUCCGUAUUCACUAACUUCCCAUAUAUUAUAGUUAGUAGAUUGAAUAUAGAUCAUCAUCCUAACUUUCCAAUAAUUAUAGUGCGUGCCAUCAAAACAGGGAGGUUGGUUUGUAGAAUGCCCCUCAAGAUUUUGAAACAUAGGGUCAGCUAUUAUUCAAGACUGUAAAAUCUUUGAAAAUGAAUACCAAGCUCUGAUACCAAUUGAAUGCCCAAGAAUAGCUAAGCAAAAAAGGGGUGAAUUGGUUUUCAAUAAUUUUUCAAACAAAUAACAAAUAAACUAAUUGCACAAGUAAGAGAGCCUAGAUAUGAAAGUAAUAAGUAGAAGGGAAGAGAAUUCGCAAACGAUGUAAUUAUGGAUUUUCGAUCCAAUCAACGAUCUAUGUCCCCCAUUACCAAGCUCUCCAUCACGAGCAAUGCCGUUUUCACUAUGUUUUAUUGACUUAUGUCUCAAUCCAACCCUCACAAUGCUUCUGGUGACUUACAAAUAAGGAGCACCUAACUUUUUACAAUGUUGAGUUUUACAUGACCUCAACACGACCCUCAACUUCAAAGAAUAAAAAGCAUACAAAAUGAAACUUUUCUUACAAUAAAUGAUAUAUUUAAAGUUAAGUACAAUAAGAGAAGUAGGCUAACACUUUAAUAAAUAGCAAUGAGCAAAGCUCAAGUGUUAGAUUUGAAAAACUUUGAUGAAUGAAAGUUAUUUCAAAAGUAAGAUCAAUCAAGAGUUUUAUAAAGAUAAUUGAGUUGAUAAAAAUAAAUAAAUAGUGAAGAUCAAAUAUUUAAGCUCAAAGGAACCUCACUUAAUUGCUCUAGGGAAUAUAUAAAUGAAUGCAAAGUGAGGUAGUAUUUAUAGUUGAAAAAAUGUCAAAAGUCUAUCAAUAGUAGUGGUUGUAAAAAUUGACCGUUGGACCUACUGGACGUCCGCCAUGGAAGAAAUCCAUAAUUUUCCCUCUUUUAUGGUUUUGAUAUAUGUAAUCUUUUGAAGAACGUUUUUAUUUGGUUUUUCAAGGCAAGUAACAUUUUUUAAAAUAUAAGAUUAAAGUCAUUACCUCAAAAAAAUUCUUAUGUAAACAUUGUUGCAAAGUUAUUAUUCUCCUGCAUAAAAACAAUUUUUGAGCCUUUCAUAAGUCAUUGCCAAAUAUUGAAAUGUAUUACAUUUACAUAUGAAAUUAAAGUGUCUAGUGUGUAAGUCUAAUAUCUUCAAUGAAGCUCUUAGUCUUGACGCGCAUGCUUGAUUAUACUUUGACUUUUAUCUUGAUAGCAAUCUUCACAUCCUCAAUUUUGCUUCCAUGUCGUCAUCACUUGCAAAUCUCUUAGUUUCGAACAGUGUGUCUUUAAUUUUAUUGGUUUGCAAUAUUCUCUAUCAACUUUGGAAUUCAAUUUGUUAGAAAUAAACGUAAUUUUUUUGUGAUAAUUAAAACAAAAAGUCAACCAUAGGUCAACAGACAUCCAAAAGCCCGUAGAAGAGGUGAAUAGAUGUGGUAAGAUUGCACAGCUACGUCAACAAAUAGAGUUGUUGAUCCAGCAAAUCGCUUUACUCAUGCCACAUCAACAUGCGUUUGUGGCCCAACCGCUUAAGGAUUCUGAAGAUGAAAAUACAUUUGCCAAUCCAAUGGAAAGGAGAUGGCCAGGGGGAGAAUAGGCCCUAGGGAUCAGGCUUUAAGGUUGAUAUCAUUGAGUUCUAUAGUGGAUUAAAUCCAAAAAAAAAUUUAGAUUGGGUGACUACAGUAGAGGAAAUCUUGGAAUUCAAGGAGGUUCCUACUGGUAAGUGUGCCUCUCAUUGUGACAAGAUCUCGUGGACGAGCAGCAACAGAAAAAGGUAACGAGGACCAAAUUAAGGAAGGAAAGAUUGAGUCUUGAGAUAAAUUAAAGAAGAACAUGAAGAAGCAAUUUUUCCCUAUAAUUAUGUUCGGACCAUGUAUCGAUUGCAGAACUUGCGUCAAGGCAUGAAGACAGUUGAUGACUAUACGACGUAGUCUUACGUGUUGAUUACGAAGAACGAGUUAAUGGAAAUGAAUAAACGAUUGGUGUCGUGAUAUGUGGGUGGUCUUUGUCUCCAAAUACAAGAUACCCCGGAUAUGUUUGAUUCUGUGAUCGUUUCUAAGGUGCAUCUACGGGUGAUACAAAUAGAGAAGCUGCAGUCUAGGCGAAAUAUAUGUCAUUUCACUACAAGGGGUUAUUCCUAGAAAUAACAACAGCAACAACAAGAAACAACACAUGCUAGUAAUCCUAGUCAGGCUGAUUCAUUUAAAGCAAAUCUUGUUCAACAAUCAACACAUCCUAAAGGUGGUAUUUGUUGUUUCACUUGUAGAGGUAUGCGUCAUAAACAAUAUGAACGUCCUAAAAAUUCACGUAAAGGACUUUGUUGAUAAGGUUUAUGAAGAUCAUGAUGAGGGGCUUGUAUUUGACAAUGGACACGCUGAAGAAACAACGGAGGAGGAGAAAUUUGUUGUUGGUGAUUUGGGACAAGCGUUGGUGGUGAGAUGAAGUUUUUUGACUCCUCUGGAGAGUAAGGGUGACUGGCUGUUUAAUAAUUAUUCCAGUCUACAUGUACUAUUAGGAAAAGAAUUUGCAAGUUUGUUAUUAAUUUUGGGAGUUGCGAGAAUGUAGUAACUGAGGAGCUCGUUACGAAAUUGGAUUUGCAGACUCAGAAACAUCCUAUACCAUAUAAGUUGGCUUGGUUUAAGAGAGGUAACGAUGUUGAAGUAUUUUAGCCUGCUUUAAUCAGUUUUUCCAAAGGACCUACGUAAAAAGAUCAGGUUCUGUGUGAUGUAGUCGAGAUAGAUGGAUGUCAUUUGUUAUUAGGGAGACCUUGGCAGUUUGAUAGAUACUCGUUGCACGAUAAAUAUACCAACACGUAUCGUUUUUUGUUUGGGGAAAAGAAGAUUGUAUUGCUAGCCAACAAGAGCCCAACAAAGAUAGUUGGAGACAGUACCAAUUUACUAACCAGAGCGAAGUUUAAGAUAGAGAUGGCAAAAUUUGGUAUAGUAUAUGUGUUAGUAGUCAAAUUAAUUGAUACUGAGCAGAAGGUCCCUCAGAGAAUAGACCGUUGCUGGAAGAAUUUCAGGAGGUCUUUGUAGAAGAACUUCCAGAUGGGUUGCCACCACUACAAGAUAUUCAGCAUCAGAUUGAUUUAGUACCUAAUGCUACUCUUCCUAAUCGGGCAAAUUAUAUGAUGAGCCCUACUGAACAUGAAGAGUUACGCAAACAAGUGGAGGAGUUUUUGGCAAAGGGGUAUAUCAGGGAAAGUUUUAGUCCUCGUGCUCUUCCUACUCUUCUUACUCCAAAUAAAGAUGGUACAUGGCAUAUGUGCAUAGACAAUAGAGCGAUCAAUAAGAAUACUGUACAUUACCAUUUUCAUAUUCCUCGCUUGGAUGACUUACAGGAUUAGCUUACUGGUGCUUGAGCGUUCAGUAGACUGGAUUUGAAGAGUGGUGCCAUCAGAUUCGUAUCAGGCUUGGGGAGAAGUAGAUGACAACAUUUAAGAUGAGUGAAGGGGUUAUAUGAGUGGUUAGUCAUGCCAUUCCGCCUUUCCAAUGUGCUAAGUACUUUUAUGCGGGUUAUGAAUCAAGCUCUUAGUCCAUUCAUUGGUAAAUUUAUUUUAGUUUACUUUGAUGAUAUUCUGAUUUAUAGUGCUAACAGUGAUGAUCAUGUCCAGCAACUUUGGGAAGUUCUUUCAAUCCUUCACAGGGAUAAAUAUUAUGCUGCGGUGAAGAAAUGUAGCUUUCUAACUGACCGGGUUCUGGGUUAUGUGGUGACAAGAACGGAGUUAGCAGUUGAUUCAUCCAACGUAAAACGGAUAAGUCAGUGGCCAUAGCCUAAGACUAUUACAAAAGUGUAGAGUUGUCAUGUCUUGCUUCCUUUUAUAGCAAGUUUAUCCCACAUUUCAAUAGUAUCAUGACUCCAAUUAUAGAUUGUAUAAAGGGUGGCAAGUCUCAGUAGAAUACUGAGGCAGAGGCAUAUGUUCAGUCGAUUAAGCAGAAAUUGACAACUACUCUAGUUUUGGUGUUGCCUAAUUUUACUCAGCUAUUUGAAUUGCAUUGUGAUACUUCAAAGGUAGGAUUGGUGGUGUACUGAGCUAGAAAAUCGUCAUGCUACAUAUUUCAAUGAGAAAGAUUUUAGCCCUAAGUCUCAUUAUAAUACUUAUGAUAUAGAGUUCCAUGCAAUAGUCCAAGCGGUUCAACAUUGAUGUUAUUAUUUAUUCCAGAAGGAAUUCAUUUUGUAUACUAACCACAACACCUUUAGACACCUUGGUGCUUAAGAUAAGGUACCUGCUCGGCAUGCUUCUGACAAAAUUACGAGGGGAGGCUCUAGAUUUGACAUUAUUUGCAAUUUAUAUGCUACUGAUCCAUAUUUUUCACAGAUUAUUUGCAGAAGGGUGUGCAUUAGGAGUUUGUAUGUGUUGAUGAUUUUAUUUGUUGGGAAAAUCAAUUAUGUAUUCUUGAGGGCAAUUUGCGGCUUAAGAUAAUUCAAAAGCUGCAUAAUGAGGUCCAUGUGGGUCGUAAAACAUUGUUGACCUACUUAUUCCGACCUAAUCUUGGACAGGUGUUGGACUUCGUCUUGGAGCUACCCAGGACUCAGCGUGGAUUUGAUUCUAUUUUUAUGGUGGUUGAUCAUUUCUCCAAGAUGGUCCAUUUAUAAAAGAAGACUAUGGAUGUUGUUAGUAUAGCAUUACUGUAUUUUCGUGAGGUCUAUCGUCUACAUGAGCUUCCUAUUUCUAUCGUGCCUGAUUGAGAUACUCAUUUUCUUAGUCACUUUUAGCAUAGUUUAUGGCGUAUGGUCAAUACACAGUUGGACUUCAGCAGGGUACAUCAUCCUCAAAUAGAUGGUCAAACAGAGGUUGUCAAUCAUUCCUUAGGUGAUUUGCUACGUUGUUUGGCUGGUGAUCACAUUAAGUCUUGAGAUCAAAUGUGUGAGGUAGAAUUUGCUCACAAUCAUGCAGUUAAUAGUAGUACAGACUUUAGUCCUUUUCUGGUAGUAAAUGACCUUGUUCCUCAUAGUCUUCUUGACCUGGUUCUAGUUUCAACUAUUGUUAAAAUGCAUGGUAAAGCGGAGGAUUUCAUUAAGUAGUUGCACAGGUUUAUUCACAAACUUAUGAUCAUUUGCAAGCCGAUGUUACUAAGUAUAAACAUGAUGCAGAUCUUCAUCGUCGCCAUGUUGAGUUUGAGGUUGGUGACUUCGUUUGGGCGGUGUUAACAAAGGAUUGUAUUCCUACUCAUGAAUACAAAAAGCUUACUGCAAGAAAAAUUGGUCCAAUGGAGAUCAUUGAGAAGAUUAAUCCCAAUGCAUAUCGGUUAAAGCUGCCUAGUCACAUUGGUAUAUCCGAGGUUUUUAACGUAAGCACCUAGUCCCAUUUCGAGGAGAUAAUUCUGAUGAUGAUGUUACUUUCCCACCAAAUAUGAGGGCAAAUUCCUUAGUUCUGAUCUGGAUAUUUAUUCUUAAAACCAAGUGACCUUCGAGCUCUGAAUAUAUAAAUUGCUACCUCCCACGGCCUCUUGUCUUCACAUAAUUUUUACCAUUUCAGCUUUUUGCUCUCACUAUAUUAAUUCCAAAGAAUAAAUCUCUAGAUUUUGAUUAAAGAAAAACUCUCUUUUUUUUUUAAAUAAGAAAGAAACUUUCUAUUAGAUCCUUCAAGAAUCUAUGGGAAUAAAGAUUUAGAAACUCAUAUUGAUAUCAAAAUAUUGAAAUUUUAUUUCUUUCCAAAUUUAUGCAAGAUUUCUAUUUGGUACAGAAGGAUUUCCAGAAAAACUGAUUUUUCAAACUGAGGGUAGCUCGAGAGUAGCUAUUGAUUACAAUUCGAGAUUUCAAGGUAUCUCUAUCCUUUCCUCUUGCCUCUAUUUAUACAUACAAAUGAAGCUUUUAUUAUUGAUUUAAUUACAUCAUUGCAUACAUCAGCUCUAUCAAAAGACACUCUUGCCUUUCUAUUAUUUUUCUUCUCGGGCCUACAUCUUCACAUGCAGCUCUAUUAUUAUCCUCCUUUCACAUGCAAUUUUAUCAAAGGUGCUCUAUUAUUGUCAUCUUUUCUUUAUUUCUUCACAUGCAGCUGGGACAAUCUCUUAGCUUGCAAGAUUCUUUGAUAAUGAUAGGGCAUCUUAGAAAUUGAUGUAUGUUGAAUUUUGUAAUAUAGUCCUUUAAGAUUUUUGAUUUUCCAUGUCCUCCAUUUGAAACUAGCAUCCAAUUUUGAUAUUGACAUAAAUAUGAGAAUUAUUUAUCAUACAAAUUUUUAGCAAUAUUGUAUAUGACUUUGAUUCCAAGUGCUCUUCUAUGCUUGAUCCACGACUUGGUCACAUUUGGAACCUUUUUAUCAUUCUCUAUAACAUCUAUUUGGAAAUUGGCUGCAACAUAUCCAAUUAAGAUUAUGUGUUCAACUGGAUAAUAAAUAAUUCUAUCAUAUUGAGGACUUAUUGAAUAAAAUUUCAAAUAUAUUCUUCGUCCCUUGACAAAUCUUGAUACUUCUUUUAUGAAUGUGUCAUCGAAUUUCAAAAUUUCAAUCAAAUCUUUUCGUAAAUAUAUCAAAUCCAAAAAUUCAGAAUCUGCAAUAAUAUUUAUGAAUGAAGGGUCUUCUCCUUCCAUGGCUAUCAUUCUAGGAUAAACAUUAUUUCCUGGAUAGAUGAAAUAUAAAUCACUUAUUUUUAUUUUAUAAACGAUUUUGAUUAUUUUGGUAUAUUCUUCUUCUUUUGGAUUUAAAGGGAUCAUAUCAUCUUGGUCUUGGUUUAUGAUACUGAUAGUUUUGAAAUCUUUUUUAUCUCCAUGUAUCACCACUUUUUUUAAUUGGUGUUGAAUCUUCUUUUUUAUCAAUUGGUAUGGUGUCACGUUUGGAUCCACUGCUACUUCCAGCUAUCCUUUUUUGGUAUUAAUUUGGAAAACUCAUUUAUGAUCUCUUUGGUAUAUCUGUCUCAGACAGUAUAUCUUUUAGUUGUGCUGCAAUAGCAUCAACUUGAUUUUUGAGUUCUAUGGCCCCUUUAUGAUGCUUAAUAGUGAUAUUCAAUAAUAUUUUUAUAUUUGAGUUGAAUAUCUCUGAGAUCUGUAUUGCUCCAAUAUUUAUGUCUUCAGAUUCUUCUUUAAGAAAAUCUGUCAUUUUUUGUAUAUGUAGGAUAGAUUGGUAUAAAUCCAUGACCUUGGCUUUAUUCAUUAGCAAAUUCUAUGUUUCUGCUGAAAAAAUCUACAAGAAAAUUAUUAACUCCUUUAAUAUGAACUAUAUCAAAAUUAUAAAAUGCUAAAAAAGCUUGCCAUCUAUGGAGCCUUCUGUAUUGAGGUUUCGAUGGUAGUUUAUUCCUGACUAAUCCUGCAACUUGAGAAUUAUCAGUUUCAACAAUGAAUUUUUUAGAUAACAAAAAUAAUAAGAACUUUUUUAUUCCUCUAAUAAUUGCUAGUAAUUCUAUUUCAUGAGUAGUAUAAUUUAUUUCUGUUUGAUUAAAAGUUCCACUUGAAUAUCUAUAAAUCUCGUUUAGACUUGUUUUUAAUAUUGCUACCCAAUAUUUUAUUUUUAGGCAUCUGUAUUCACAAUUAAAUUAUCUUUUUCAUCUGGUAAUCUUAAUUUUGGUAAAUUUUUACAUUCUUCUUUUAAUGAUUUAACAAUUUCUGUGUGUUCUUCAUUCCAUCAUUUAAUAUUUAUUUUGAAGUAAAAUUUGUAUUUUAUACAUUUUCUUAGAAAGAUUCUCAAUAAAUCAUUCUGCAUAAUUUAAACAUCCCAAAAAAUUUUGUAUUUGCUCUUUGGAUUCUAAUUUAUUUAGAAAACUUUUUAUCUUUUUAGAUAUAUGAGUCUGUAAUUUUAUUCCUCUUUUAUCUAUUAAUAAUCCAAGAAGGUUUAUUUCUUAUUUUUCUAUUAUAGAUUUCUUUUUAGAAAGUACAAUUCCUUCUUUUUUACAUUCAUUUAUAAAUUGUAAUACAUGAUUUCUAUGUUCUUCUUUACUAUUGGAACAUAUUAGUAUGUUAUCUAUAUAAACAAUUAGAAAUUCAUUAAACUUUUUAGAUAUAUUAUCCAUUUUCCUUUGAUAUAUUUGUGGCGCAUUUUUUAAUCCAAAUGACAUUACUAACCAUUCAAAUUUUCCUUAAAGUGUGCUAAAUGUAUUAUAUUGUACACUAUCUUCUUCCAUUUUCAUUUGCCAAAAUCCUAAUUUACAGUCAAAUUUAGAAUAAUAUUGUUUUCCUUUUGCAAGGUUUAUUAAAACUUCUUUAUUUGGUAAAAAAUAUCCAUCAAAUUUAGUAUAUUUAUUUAAUUCUUUAUAAUUUAUGACCAUUCUAGCUUUUCCUCUUACCUGUUCUGAAUGUUUUAUAACCAUGAAGGCUGGACUACUAUGAGGUCCAUUACUAGGUCUAAUAAGUUUCUGUUCUAAUAAUUCUUUUAUUUGAUUUUUGAAUUCUUGUGUAUCUUUUCUAGUAUACAUCAUUGAUCUGCCUCUUAUUAUAACAUGUUCUGUUAAUUUUAUUUUGGUUUUAGGGUGAUGUGGUUUCCAAUAUGAUAAUGAAUUUUCUCCAUACACUUUUUCUAAUUGUUCAAUAAUUUUCUCUAUACUCAUUUUUAUUCCUGUUUUUAGAACUUUUUUAUACAAUAUUCUUUUAUUUUUUAUUUUAUUAAAUAUGAUUAGUUUUUUCUCUCAUUUAUCAUCAUGAUGUGCUGGCUGAGCUCUAUAAGGGUCCAUUUGAUUACAAGGAUGAAAUUGAAAACGAAUUCUAUGGAAUUAAAUUGCCUAGAAAUUAUUUUCUUGAAAAUUGUAAAUUAUUGUGUUUUAUUGGUAUAAUUUUCCACGUGAAAAAUGUUGAAAUAAAAGUUUUUUUGUCGUUCAUUUGACUUUGUUUUACAUAAAAAUUGUCAAUUAUAGAGAUAAAUUUUACUGGUAUUGGGGUGAAAUUUGUUUCGAUUGUCAAAAAAAAAAUCAAAAAAUUCAAGAAAAUCAUCUAUCUUUUAGUAUUCGUUUGACUUUCUUUUACAUGAAAAUUGUCAAUUAAAGGGAAAUAUUUUUUUUACAAUAAUUCUUAAGAUUUGUUUCCAUUGUCAAUAAAAAAAUUCAAAGAAAAAAAAAUCACGCUAGUGCCUGGAAUUCGAAUUCUCACCAAUGUGGUGAGAAUUUGAAUUCCAUGAAAACAUGGAAAAUUGCUAGUUCCCAAGAAAAACAAGAAAACUAAUUCCUUGGAAAAAAAAAAAAAGGCUAUCAAAUAGCCAAAAAGAUGGAAAAUGGAAUUGAUUUUCCAUUUUCCAUGGAAAACUUGAUACAAUCAAACAGGCCCUAAGGUUUAAAUUCUCUUGGAAUUUUUAAUAAGUGUGAGCAAGAUGUUUGUAACAUUAUCAUAUAAUUAUGUUGUUUAUAAGAUUGAAAUUGUUGUAUAAAGUCAUUUCCUAAUAAUGUAUCACAUUCUAAUUUAUCAUAUUUAUAUAUUUUAUUUAUUGUAACCUGUUUACUUCUAAAAAUUAUAUUAACUUUAUCAGCACUAUUAAUUAUUUGAGUGCUUUCUCCUGUGACUCUAGUUAUUUUUAUAUUACUAUUAUUAUUUCAUGAUUAUAUCAAAAAACUUUUAAAUAUUGUUAUAUCACUUCAUGUGUUUAUUAAAGCACAAAUUGUUAUGUUUGUUUCUACAAUAGUAACUUGUAUGUAUACAGCUAAUAGAAAACUUAUCUGAUUAUUCAUUUAGUUCUUUUUACAUAAUAUAGUAUGUCCAUUAUGAAUUAUAUAUAAUCUUUCUCUUUUUAUACUAUAAUAUUCUAAUUCAUUCAGAAAAUUCAUUUCUAAAAAUAUAUGAGGGUUUAUAUCCAUACUUUUAUCUAUAUAACAUGGUACUAAAAUGUUUAUUCCUCUUAUUUUUAUUGGUACUUUAACUUCUAAUUCUAAAAUAUGUAUUUGUCCAUUAAAAUUUACAUAUCUAUAUUGAUUAGUUUUAUGAGUUAUUAGACAUUUAUUUCUAAUUGAAGUUAUAUGACAUUCACUAACUCCUGUAUCUAUUAAUAUAAUUGGUCCAUUUAUAUAUUCUCUUCCAUUAUAAUAUUCUCCUUCUAUUUUCAUAUUUCCAGCAUUUCUGUAAAGUUUUAUUUCUCUCAUAUUACUAAAUUCUUCUGACUGAUUUUUAUUAGUUAUUCUAAGACUUUUUGAUUAAUUUUAAUUAACUUUUCAUCCUUAAAUGUUAUACUAUUAAAAUAUUCUCCUUCAUUUAAUUCUGUUAUUUCAGGUUUAUUUCUUAUUAUACUAAAUUCAUAUUCUUCCAGAACGAAGCUUAUUUGUUUAUUUGGUUCUAUUAUUUUGCUAAUAUCCUUACAUUCUUUAUGUACUUCAAUAUAUGGUUUAUUGGAAUAAAUAUUUCCAUAAUUAGAAUUGGUAAAUGUAUAUAAAACUCUAUAUUCUGUAGUCAUAAUUUGAUCACCCGGUUGCAUGAUAUCAUUUCUAUGUAGCUUAAAAUGCAAUUCUAAAACUUCAUUAAAGUUUCUAUCUUUCAAUGAUACACAAUAUUUUGGGUAGCAUGUAAACAUUAUUUUUUGAUAUGCUAAAUUUCCUUUUAUUAUUCCUAAAUGACUAUCUUUUAGAUUUAUUAUUCUUUCAUCAUGUAAGGUUAUAGUUAAGGUAAGUCUAUUCCUCCUCUAAAUAAUGAUUUAAAUAUUAUUUGUAUUCCUAGUAAAUAAACGUAUUGGAUUUUUUCACUUUGUUUUUUAUUAAUCUUUGUUAAUAAUUCUUCAACUAUAUUUUUUGUUAAAAGAUUUAAUUUAUGACUUCCAUAUGUUGUUUUUACAUCUAUAGUUUUCUCAAUUUUAUGAUAUUCAUUUAUCACUAUCCUUUCUCUUUUCCAAAUUAUGUCUAAAACUUCCCAAUUUCCUAUUUUUAAAUCUAAAGAUAAUUUUUGCAUUUUCUUAAAUUUAUUAUUAUCAAAUAUAUCUUUUAAUCCAUAACUUUCUAUUUUUUCAUAUUCUUGUAUAUUUAUAUUAUUAUUUUCUAUUUCCUCUAUUUCCUUAUUCAGAUUCAGAUUCAUCUGUUUCGCUUAUAUAUAUUUCCUAAUUAUAAUAUUGUUCAAUAUCCAAUAUUUCACUAAUUCAUCUUUUAUUUUCAAAUAUUCUUUUUGUCAUAUUUUAACUUUCUUUUUAUCACAAUCAGGGCUUAUAUGACAUAUUUCCUUACAAUUCCAAUAUUUACAUUGGCUUUUAUUUUUCUUAUAACUUUUAUUUUUCUAUUGACCAUAUGGGAUAUUUUUUCUUUUAUAAUAUCUUCUUCUAGGUUUUAUAUAUUUUUCAUUAAAAUUUCUAAAUUUUUUAAACUUUUUAUUUUUAUAUUUUCUUUUGUUAACCCUUCUCUCAAGAUUGCAUCCCCAUUGUAUAUGAUUUUUCAUAUAUUCACAACAUAUUCUAGUUGAUUUUUCUGAUUUUUUCAAUAAUUGUUUUUAUUGACAUAUAUGUACAAGUCUUUCAAAUAAAAAUUUUAUUCUUAAACCUAAAGUUCUAGGUAUUCCAAUAUUAUCUCUGACAUAUUUUUCAAAUUCUAUUUUAGAAUAUAUUCCUCAUGAACCUGGUAACUUAUUAUAAUACAUGUCUUGAUAUACUUCUUGAUUUUCAUUACUAUAAAAUUGAGUAUAAUAAUAAUUUCUGAACUCAUAAGUAUAUUCUUUAAUUUUGCACAUAUCACAUAUUGUUAAAUUUAUUAAUUUAAUCAUAGCAUUGUCUUUUUUUCUUAUUGCUCUUCUUUCAGCAUUUUUUAUCCAAUUUUCUCUUAAAAAUUCAUAUGAAAUAUAUUCUACUAACUUUUCUAUACAUUGUCUAUUUGAUUUUAUUAUUUCUAUUUGUACAUUUCUUUUUAUUAAUAUUUUUAUAUCAUUACUUAUUCAUUUCCACCAAUUUCUAACAUCUCCUUCAAAUGAUACUAUUAGAAAUCUAUUAUUCUUUCAGUACUUUUCUAUAUGUCAUCUUUAUUAUAUAAAAAGAAUAAUAUCAUUGAAUCUGCCCAAGUUAUUAAGGUUUUUUUAGUAUCUAUUUUACAAUUUAAAUCUAAUUUUGUUUUUCCAUGAUUAAUAGGUUUAUCUCAAUUAUCAUUUAAUUCAAACAUGUCUCUAUAUUUAUCUCCUUUAAGUAAUUGUCUAUCUCUUACUUUAUCAUAAAAUUGUCUAUAUGAUUUAUUAUAUAUAGGUACAUAACAUUCAUCUGAUUCUUGCAAUUCUUGUUUAGAGGUUUCUAUUGGAUUAGGUUCUCCUCCAGUAUUCAUUAAAACUUGGUAUUCACUUAUAUCACUUAAACUUAAUUGAUCUAUUUUUUUUAAGUAAAUCUAAUUCCUCAUUUACCUUUAUUUUCUUGAUUUUCUUCUAUUUUUAAUUUUCCUAACAUUUUUUCUCUAGAUUCCCCUUCUUAUAAUAUUUUAGGUAAUAUAUGCUUUCUAAAUUCUUCAUUCAUAUUUCCUGUUUCUAUUACUAUAUUUUGUUUUUCAAUAUAUUUCUUUCCUAUUCGAGUCAUUUCUUUUUCUAUAAAUUUUUUUAUCUAUUUUCUUUUCUAUAUUUUUAUAUAUUUUAUUUUAAUUCUCUAAUUUCAAUUUUUAAUAUAUUUAUAUCAUUUCUUGUUUCUUUUAGUUAAUUUCUUAAAUCUUGAAUAUCAUUUAUCAACAUUUUUAUUAAUGACUUUAGUUCUUCCUUAUAUUCACUUAUAGACAUCUUAAUCUUUCUUAAUCAUCUUUCUAACAUAUAAGUUAAAUAUCAUCUUUUAUCUUCUUUUUCUUCUAUUAUUUUUUCAAAACUUUCUUUAGCAAACUCUGUAUUUAGUAGUUCUUCUUUUAUUAUCUUAAAGCAUUUACUCUGUAUUUUUAAUUUUUCACACUUUAAUUUUAUUAACUGUUCUUCUUUUACUAUUAUUCCAUCUUGUAUUAAUAUUAUAUCUUGUAUUUUUUCUUGUAUCUUAUUAAUAGUUGCAAUUAAUCUAUUCAAUUUUAAAUCUUUAUUAUCAUUCACACUUAUACUUUUCUUUAUAAUAUAUAUUAAUUUCUUCAUCUUCAUAUACUUUAAUAAGAGGAUCAAUAAAAGAUAUAUAUAUCUUUUAUUGAUCCUAUUAUUAAUUUUUCUAAUAUUUGUUCUUUUAUUUCUUUGGGUAAUUUUUUGACUAUUGUUAGUGUCAUUAUUUUUAAUUUAUUAGGAAUAGGUUCUAAAAAUAUAUAACUUCCUUUUUCUUCUUCUAAAUACCAAUAAUAAUUUAUUUUACCUAUUUUAAUUUUCAUGAUUUCUAUGGCUCUGAUACUAAUUAGGAGAUGCUAUUUUGAGUGAACAAAAAUCAAAUAAAUAAAAUAAAUCUAUAAAUCUACUAAAAUCUUUAACUCUUCAAUUAGAGGCUAAAUUCUUUAAAAAUUUUAAGGACUUGAAUGGAAAGUUUCUAUAAAAUAAAGACUUAUGUAUAAUAUUUAUAUAAGGGUAUUUUAGGUACUUGAAUUAGUUAAAGGCUAAAAUGGAAAAGUAGCCCUUUUCUUUAGGCUAUUUUCAUGUAUUUCACCGCUCGUAUGCAUCUACUGAUAUGCUGUAAUCACUUGUUUAAGUUAACACUGCAAAAAUGGUUGAAGUGAGAUCUUGUAAUUUAAUUGCAUUAAUGUGGGUUUAUUUGUCUGUUCAGCAGUUAUCGACUAGAAUAAGGGGAAGAAAUUUCGAAAUUUGUCACGAUUGUAGAACACUCACUACUUUGGACAAUACCAAACAAAUCAUGGAUGCCCUUGGUGUAAAGACGGAUUUCAACUAUGUUUUGAGGUCGAACCGGAUACUAGAAACAAAUGGUGCUUGUUCUUCAUGUGUAGUAAUGAAGCGGGGAAUCGAGUUGCCUACUAUGAUAUCAAUUUAUAUUUGCUAAAUAUUUCAUUGUAAAGUACUAACUGUU